rnacentral:rRNA from 1 species
CUAUACAUGACUCUGCGCAUAUCAAUAAGCGGAGGAAAAGGAAACUAACAAGGAUUCCCCUAGUAACGGCGAGUGAAGCGGGAAGAGCUCAAAUUUGAAAUCUUAAAGGGUUUCCCUUUACGAAUUGUAGUUUAAAGAAGUGUUUUCUGUUGAGGUUUUGGUAAAAGUUCUUUGGAAUAGGACAUCAUAGAGGGUGAGAAUCCCGUAUUUGACCUUUACUUUCAACUUUGUGAUACACUUUCAAAGAGUCGGAUUGUUUGGGAAUGCAGUCCAAAAUGGGUGGUAAAUUUCAUCUAAAGCUAAAUAUUGGCGAGAGACCGAUAGCGAACAAGUACCGUGAGGGAAAGAUGAAAAGAACUUUGAAAAGAGAGUUAAACAGUACGUGAAAUUGUCAAAAGGGAAGCGUUUGACACCAGUGUUGUUUUUCUGAAAAUCAAUUAAAGAACUGUUUAUGCUAAGUUGAUUAGACUUUAUCAGCUAACUGUUUAGUUUUGAGCUUUUCUUUAAUGCACUUUUCAGUUAACAAGUCAACAUCAAUUUCUUUUGCUGUAAAAAAGCUUGAGGAAGGUGGCUUGAGAUUCGUCUUAAGUGUUUAUAGCCUCUUGCCUAUGCAGUCGGAGAGAUUGAGGUCUGCAGCGUAGAUCCUUCGGGGCUAAAUGCAUUUGUGCUAAGUUAUAGCAUUUUAUAGACAACUUGUUGACUAUGAUUUGUCUUGUAGCUUACUCGCUUAUGUUAUUUUACCUACGCUUAGGAUGUUGAGCGCAUGUCUCUCUCU